GGGUCAGUAGGUUGGUCGUGCCACCGGUACGUACUGGUCUCACUGACUCCUCCUUCCUGAAGAACCGUAAUGCCAUUAAUUUGGUGUUGCGGGGAAACAGGACUGUUACUUUGAAAAAAUUAGAGUGUUUAAAGCAAGCUAACGCUUGAAUACAUUAGCAUGGAAUAACGAAAUAGGACGAUCGAUCCUAUUUUGUUGGUUUCUAGGAUUGACGUA
rnacentral:rRNA from 1 species